GAUGAACGCUGGCGGCGUGCCUAAUACAUGCAAGUCGAGCGAACAGACGAGGAGCUUUCUCCUCUGACGUUAGCGGCGGACGGGUGAGUAACACGUGGAUAACCUACCUAUAAGACUGGGAUAACUUCGGGAAACCGGAGCUAAUACCGGAUAAUAUAUUGAACCGCAUGGUUCCAUAGUGAAAUACGGUUUUGCUGUCACUUAUAGAUGGAUCCGCGCCGCAUUAGAUAGUUGGUAAGGUAACGGCUUACCAAGGCGACGAUGCGUAGCCGACCUGAGCGGGAGGACGGCCACCCUGGAACUGAGACAGAGUCCAGACUCCUACGGGAGGAAGCAGUAGGGAAUCUUCCGCGAUGGAGGAAUGCCGGACGGAGCAAAGCCGCGUGAGUGAUGAAGGUCUUCGGAUCGUAAAACUAUGUUAUUAGGGAAGAACAAAUGUGUAAGUAACUAUGCACGUCUUGACGGUACCUAAUCAGAAAGCCACGGCUAACUACGUG
rnacentral:rRNA from 1 species